rnacentral:misc_RNA from 1 species
GACGAACCGAGCAAACGUUAUUCGGAAUCACUGGGCUUAAAGGGCGCGUAGGCGGGCAUCCAAGUCUGUGGUGAAAUCCGGCAGCUUAACUGUCGAACUGCCGUGGAUACUGGGUGUCUCGAGGGAGGUAGGGGCGUGCGGAACUGUAGGUGGAGCGGUGAAAUGCGUUGAUAUCUACAGGAACUCCGGUGGCGAAGGCGGCACGCUGGACCUCUUCUGACGCUGAGGCGCGAAAGCUAGGGGAGCAAACAGG